UAGCCUUUGCACCCUGAAAGGGGGCCCCAACGACUAUAAAGAAGGGGAUGAUAGCAGGUGGCCUGUUUACAGGCUGCAACACGAUCGAAUUGCGGGGACAUCCUAAAGCCUAACGGUACCAACUCACAUGGGAAACCUAGUGAGGGCCUGUAUUAACACUACGGGAUAUGGUCACAACCUGUUAGGAUGCUACAGUGGAUUAUUCGCAGCGAAGCCCCUACCGGCAAUGCCUAUGGGGAACGUUCACAGACUAAGUGAUUGUGGGUUAUAGGCUUUCACAGCCUGUGCCUAAGAUAUAGUCGGGCCAUCGAGGAGACUUGAUGGGGUGUUUCGCACCAAACCGUUCCGUAGGUGAACCUGCGGAAGGAUCAUUACAGAGUUCAUGCCCUAACGGGUAGACCUCCCACCCUUGUGUAAUUAUACUUUGUUGCUUUGGCGAAUUGCGUGACCUCUCGGGGUCUCGCCUCGAGCUUCACAGCCUGAGAGUCGUUCGCCAGAGGAUACCAAAACUCUGAAUAUUAAUGUCGUCUGAGUACUAUAUAAUAGUUAAAACUUUCAACAACGGAUCUCUUGGUUCUGGCAUCGAUGAAGAACGCAGCGAAAUGCGAUAAGUAAUGUGAAUUGCAGAAUUCAGUGAAUCAUCGAAUCUUUGAACGCACAUUGCGCCCCUUGGUAUUCCGGGGGGCAUGCCUGUUCGAGCGUCAUUUCAACCCUCAAGCUCAGCUUGGUAUUGGGCCCUGUCGGUAAAACGACAGGCCUUAAAAUCAGUGGCGGCGCCGUUGGGUCCUGAACGUAGUAAUAUAUUUCGUUACAGGUACUUGAUGUGCUUCUGCCAUUAAACCCCCAAUUUUCUAUGGUUGACCUCGGAUCAGGUAGGGAUACCCGCUG
rnacentral:sRNA from 1 species